GUAGGGAAUAUUGGGCAAUGGAUGCAAGUCUGACCCAGCCAUCCCGCGUGCCGGAAGAAGGCCCUCAGGGUUGUAAACGGCUUUUGACGGUGAAGAACCGACAGGAUGCGUCCUGUUUUGACGGUAGCCGUUGAAUAAGCACCGGCUCACUCCGUGCCAGCAGCCGCGGUAAUACGGAGGGUGCGAGCGUUGUCCGGACUUAUUGGGUUUAAAGGGUGCGUAGGCUGGAAGGUCAGUCAGCGGUGAAAAGCUAUCGCUUAACGAUAGUCUUGCCGCAGAUAUUACCUUUAUUUGAUGAGGAGGAUGCCACUGGAACGGAUGGUGUAGCGGUGAAAGGCAUAGAAAACAUCCAGAGCACCGAUUGCGGAAGCAGGUGGCUGUACCUUAAUCGACGCUGAUGCGCGAAAGCAUGGGGAGCAAACAGGAUUAGAAACCGCGGGAGUCC
rnacentral:rRNA from 1 species